CACCCGGGAAAGUCCUACACGACCAGCUCCCUCUGAACUCCGCCAGGUCUUGACAGAAGCAACGGUAAGAGGUUGUAGCGGUGCGAUGUAGUUCGCUUUCCCU
rnacentral:SRP_RNA from 1 species